rnacentral:rRNA from 1 species
AGAUUGAACGCUGGCGGCAGGCCUAACACAUGCAAGUCGAGCGGUAGAGAGGUGCUUGCACCUCUUGAGAGCGGCGGACGGGUGAGUAAUGCCUAGGAAUCUGCCUAGUGGUGGGGGAUAACGUUCGGAAACGGACGCUAAUACCGCAUACGUCCUACGGGAGAAAGCGGGGGACCUUCGGGCCUCGCGCCAUUAGAUGAGCCUAGGUCGGAUUAGCUAGUUGGUGAGGUAAUGGCUCACCAAGGCGACGAUCCGUAACUGGUCUGAGAGGAUGAUCAGUCACACUGGAACUGAGACACGGUCCAGACUCCUACGGGAGCAGCAGUGGGGAAUAUUGGACAAUGGGCGAAAGCCUGAUCCAGCCAUGCCGCGUGUGUGAA